GCUGGGUGUGGUGGCGCAUACCUGUAGUCCCAGUUACUCAGGAGGCUGAGGCAGGAGGAUUGCUUGAGCCUAGGAGGUUGAGGCUGCAGUGAGUCAUGAUCACACCACUGGACUCCAGCCUGGGCUACAGAUCAAGACCCUGUCCCAG
ensembl:misc_RNA Metazoa_SRP Metazoan signal recognition particle RNA